UGGGGAAUAUUGCGCAAUGGGCGAAAGCCUGACGCAGCCACGCCGCGUGAGUGAUGAAGGCCUUCGGGUUGUAAAGCUCUGUCGGGAGGGACGAAGGGGAAACCCUGACGGUACCUCGCAAGAAAGCACCGGCUAACUCUGUGCCAGCAGCCGCGGUAAUACAGAGGGUGCAAGCGUUGCUCGGAUUUACUGGGCGUAAAGCGUACGCAGACGGCUGCAAAGGUCGGGUGUGAAAGCCCGGGGCUCAACCCCGGAAAUGCAUCCGAAACCAUGCAGCUCGAGUAUGAGAGAGGGAAGCGGAAUUCCUGGUGUAGAGGUGAAAUUCGUAGAUAUCAGGAGGAACAUCUGUGGCGAAGGCGGCUUCCUGGCUCAUUACUGACGUUCAGGUACGAAAGCGUGG
rnacentral:rRNA from 1 species